CCUACGGGGGGCAGCAGUAGGGAAUAUUGCUCAAUGGGGGAAACCCUGAAGCAGCAACGCCGCGUGGAGGAUGAAGGUUUUCGGAUUGUAAACUCCUUUUGUUAGAGAAGAUAAUGACGGUAUCUAACGAAUAAGCACCGGCUAACUCCGUGCCAGCAGCCGCGGUAAUACGGAGGGUGCAAGCGUUACUCGGAAUCACUGGGCGUAAAGAGCGCGUAGGCGGGUUAGCAAGUCAGAUGUGAAAACCUAGGGCUUAACCAUAGAACUGCAUUUGAAACUGUUAUUCUAGAGUAUGGGAGAGGUAGGUGGAAUUCUUGGUGUAGGGGUGAAAUCCGUAGAGAUCAAGAGGAAUACUCAUUGCGAAGGCGACCUGCUAGAACAUAACUGACGCUGAUGCGCGAAAGCGUGGGGAGCAAACAGGAUUAGAUACCCUUGUAGUC
rnacentral:rRNA from 1 species